GUCAGCGCAACAGGAGUGCUAUCAAUAUAAUAGCCGUCAGAGGGCGCUAUUUCGUCCCUUUUCUUUUGAAAACGCCAGCUACCAAAGAAAGGGUGGCUCCACCAAGAUUCUAGAGGAAAAAAAUUGCUAGUUGGCUAGGUGUCGCCGCUCGGAUCAAUCCAUUACUCGUCCUAUUUGAAGACCCCGGGGAAAAGUCGAUACGUUUCUGAAACGGUGGUGUUGAUAGGUGAUGCUGGGAGUAGUAGAAAUGACGGGCAGCAACAUGGCGAACGCCCUGGCUAACGCGUCCUGCGAGCGCUGUAAGAGCGGCUUCGCCCCGGCAGAGAAGAUCGUCAACAGCAACGGGGAGCUGUACCACGAGGGCUGCUUCGUCUGUGCACAGUGCUUCCAGCAGUUCCCUGAGGGGCUCUUCUAUGAGUUUGAAGGCAGGAAAUACUGUGAACAUGACUUCCAGAUGCUCUUCGCUCCCUGCUGCCACCAGUGUGGGGAGUUCAUCAUUGGCCGUGUGAUCAAGGCCAUGAACAACAGCUGGCAUCCUGAUUGUUUCUGCUGUGAUAUCUGCCAGGCUGUGCUCGCUGACGUCGGCUUCGUUAAGAACGCUGGCAGGCACCUAUGUCGGCCUUGCCAUAACCGUGAGAAGGCUAGAGGUCUGGGGAAGUACAUCUGUCAGAAAUGCCAUGCCAUCAUCGAGGAUAGCCCCCUCAUCUUUAAGAACGACCCCUACCACCCAGACCACUUCAACUGCAACAACUGUGGUAAGGAGCUGACAGCCGAUGCCAGGGAGCUGAAGGGAGAGCUGUACUGUCUGCCCUGCCAUGAUAAGAUGGGGGUGCCGAUCUGUGGCGCCUGCAGGAGGCCCAUCGAGGGACGCGUGGUCAACGCCAUGGGAAAGCAGUGGCACGUCGAGCACUUUGUGUGUAGUGUAUGUGAGCGAUCGUUCCAGGGCCAUCCCUACUAUGAAUGUAAGGGCUAUGCCUACUGCGAGUGGCACUUUAACAUGCAUUUUGUGUGUGCUAAGUGUGAGAAGCCGUUCCUUGGACACCGCCACUAUGAGAGGAAGGGUCUGGCCUACUGUGAGACCCACUACAACCAGCUCUUUGGUGAUGUGUGCUACCACUGCAACAGAGUGAUUGAAGGAGAUGUGGUGUCAGCCCUGAACAAAGCAUGGUGUGUGAACUGUUUCUCCUGCGCCACCUGCAACACCAAGCUCACCCUCAAAGACAAGUUUGUAGAGGUAGAUCUGAAGCCUAUAUGUAAGCACUGUUACGAGCGGAUGCCUGAGGAGCUGAAACGCAGACUGGCCCGACGCGAGAGGGACGCCUCAAAAGACCGCAAAAAGAAACCUGUUAUCUGUCUGUAGAUUUCUCCAGUCAUCUUCCUUUCAUCUUCACUAUCCUCCUCUCGCUCAUUUUCAUCCAUUGGAACAAGUUUGUGGAGUUUGACAUGAAGCCUGUGUGUAAGAAAUGUUAUGAGAAGUUUCCUCUGGAGCUGAAGAAGAGACUGAAGAAACUGGCUGAAACCGUCGGACGCAAGUAGACCUCCGAGUACCAAGGGGGCGACACUCAACAAAAUUCUAGUAACUUUUCCAAAAUUCCAGAAACUCUGGAAAAUUCCCUGAAUUUCCGGAUGUCCUGCUUAUUCCCUAUUGAUUCUGGGGAUCUUCCAUUUCGGGGUUUCUAGAAACCUGUGAUUUUAAGAAAGUUACUGGAGGUUUGCAGCCCUACGAGCAAUGCUGAAACCUAAUAUUAACCUUAAGUGCCCAAAUUAGUCAAAUGAAUCGUAUAAAUGUGUCAGAUUAGACUCAAAAUACUGUCUGUUACAGUACUUUAGUCUUUGACGUCCUCAGGUACUCAGUAUAACGUGUUAAUCUUUUCUCAAUUUUUAAUUGAUUAUUUUUGUGCAAGUGGCUUUUGCAUGUGGAGCUGUUUUCCAGAUGUCCAGAGUCUCUUAUUCAAACAAUAUAGAACCUCAUUCUGCCUGACAAUGACCUAUUAAAGCAUGGAGAGGGAAAAACGAUACAUUUACAUACUGUUAAAAAAGAAUACAUAUAACUGUCUGAUCUAGUUUGGCCACGAGUGGACCUCAUGACAUCUAACUAAAUACUUGCACACUGUCUUAAAGCGAUGAGAAGGUGCUUGUAGGACUCUUAAAAUAGCUUUUGCCUUGUGCCUUGGGUAUGAAUAUACACUGAGUAUACAAAAUAUUUCCAUGACAUAGACUGAUCAGGUGAAAGCUAUGAUCCCUUAUUGACGUCUCUUCAAUCAGUAGAUGACAGAUUUAAAGGAUUUUUAACUCAAUACUUCGAUGGUGUUCCUCAUGUCUGGUAAGCUCAGUGUAUAUUUUAUACUGCAUUAUAUACUGUAAGUUUGUCAGAUAAUAUGCAUGUGGUUGCCCAAUAUACUGGCAUGUGAUCCAGACUUACUACAUCUGCCUUAAUCAGAGAAUAUUCCUCACUUCUGUGUAAGAAUGAGAAUUCUAGCCGUGUAUCAGAACGUGGAGCCCAUGAGUCUGGUAUAUCAUGUGAGUCUAGUAUAUCACGUAUCCUAACAUUUGCUUGUAAUAAAAUAAAAUGUCAUGGGUUUGUUUGAAUAUAACCGUUUCAGAGGAGGAGAGCUGAAAGGAGAUGGACACGUCUUAGCACAGUCUCCAUUUUGUUCCAUCACUGUGUUGCUGACAUGUAUAAACAAGUUAGGGGAGUGUUUCAUGGAGCACAAUCGCUUAAGUUGAAUUAGCUAGAUGGGUAUGAUAAAUAUAUGUAUGUAAAGGUCUUAAACAUACUAAUAGUUGGGUUAGAUGAACACUUUGAUAAAGGAGCCAUUUUUGCAUAAAUAGAAAUAAUGGGAGAUGCUUUAUGAAUUUGUUGACUAAAAUCUGGUUUAAAAAGACAAUUUAAUAAACAUGUAGUUGUUUCAGA